CUCAACUUGAAAGUACACUUGUCUACCUUCUGGACUGCAUACUACUAUAGCUAGCUAGCUACUCAUGGGUUGUUUAUACUCGUGCUAGCAAGCGGGAAAUUAUAAACUUUGAGGAAGGUGGGGGUAGCUAGAUAGGCUAGGUAUGCCUCUUUUUCAAAGUUAUCAGCUGUUGGACAUGGACUCAAAGGAAGAGGCAGGGAGACGUGACAUUAAAGUGCAGGCAAGUACAGCAUUAGUCUCUUAGCUAAGUAGGCUAUACAACAGCCAUUAAUAAUACACAUUUAGCUACUGUUGCACGAGGAAGAUAAGAGUGUACGGGACGGGUGUGUUUUCUGUGUGUCGAAGUACGUGGGAAAACUCGUCACUACUCGCGAGCAAGUGAAAAGUAGGCUAGGCGCAGCAGCAAGGAUUCAAUGGAUUCGGCACUGCUAAAAUGAAAACAAAAUCGAAAUGGAGGUCUGCAACAAAUAUAUAUCAUAUAAAUCUUGAUUACAUCCGCCUUCUCAUUAAUACAUGCACUACUGCCUGCCUGUGAGUAAGAUAUAAUUCGAUGGAAGAUACUCGUCGUUGUGUUUCAUCCUCUAAUCUAGCUGGCUAGCUUUCUACAUAACCUCACCCAGCGAGCAACGGCAAUAGGACGAUAAUUGAUCGAUUAAGGGAAUUUAUGGGAUCACAAGGUAGGCUAAUUAAUGAGUUUAUGCAAAUACGUUUCUUUGUUUCAUAUGACUGUCAAUAGACCUUUCUUUUUUCUUUUUUUACAGUGAAACGUGUUUGAUCGAGGAAUUGAGGCGCAGUUUCCUUUGUUUACAGUCUGCAUUUUAGAACAGCUGAUGCGUCCAUGCAAUGCAGGUUUAGACACGUUUUGCGACCAUUGCAACUUAUACAUUCGCGCCCAAGAGACUCGCUAAAUAUUCAAACAAUCAACGUUAUUUAACCUUUCAACUGUAUCAUAUUUAUCAGACAGGUCUCACACUGCAUCCUUCAGUCAAAUUAUUGGGACAACUUUAUUUUCAUUCAGAGUAGGCUAUAGGCACACCAGCAAUUUUUUUUUAAGGAGUACAUAAUGUGCUCAUAAUACACAAUAAUAUAACAUUGCAGCAUAAUAACAUGUUAUGUCUUAGAGAUUAUCAAGAAUUUAGUCACAUUAGGAAGUUUGGAAGAUGUGACAUGAAAGAGAUAUCCCUAUUAAAUCAGACAGAAGUGGCAAAAAAGGCUAGUGAGUAAGUUUGAUAGAUUUCAUAAUUUAGUUUAUUGAAACAGAAUUGAGACUUUCAUGGGUCCAAAUAGAAAAAAUGAUUUCGAAAUGAUGCAGUA